rnacentral:lncRNA from 1 species
AUCAAAUUCCAGGUUCCAGAUUGAAAAGAAAACGUUGUGUAUAUACUGCUCCAUCGUUAGUUUCACAUUUCUUUUGAAAUGGGUAAUUUCAAUUACUCUGAAUCCAUCUCGUAUAUAACCACUUACCCUCCAUAUCAGUUUAUCUACUCCCUUUUUAAAUCAAUUAAUGCGGCUUGGCCAACCCAAACUUACCUUUCUUCAUCAGUUUCCAUUUCUCUUCUUCUUUCCCAACCUGUUCUUCUUUGUAUUUUUCCUACGCUGGACACAUCUUGACAAAGGGUGAAGCUUAGGACACUCUCCACUUCCUUUGUCAAGUAUAGUUUUUCCAAAAUACUCACCUUUAAUACUCACCAGCUCCCCUAUCUUCAAUUCUGAGCUCCAUGCGUGCACGGGAUGUAGAUUCUGUCGCAUACUAUGGGCAUUAUUAUUAUUAUUAUUGCCAUUUAUAUAGUGCCAACAGAUUCCGUAGCACUUUACAAUAUUAUUGGAGGGGGGAUUUAACUAUAAAUAGGACAAUUACAAGAAAACUUAUAGAAACGAUAGGUUAAAGAGGGCCCUGCUCAAACAAGCUUACAGUCUAUAGGAGGUGGCGUAUAAAACACAUUAGGACAAGAAAUAGCAGUCAAAUUAUGUGGGAGUGAAGUAGAGCUGGAGGAGAGAGUAGAGUGCUGCUCUUUAGGAGAGAGCAAGAGACAGGCAUGUGAGGUAGUCUGGGAGGCCAUAGGCACUUCUUAAAUGAUUGAAAACUAGGGGAGAGUCUGAUGGCGGUUGGCAGGCUAUUCCAUAGGAAGGGAGCUGCCCGCGAGAAGUCCUGCAAGCGCGAGUUGGCCAUACGGGUGCGAGCAGUGGACAGAAGAAGGUCACGGGCAGAGCGGAGAGACUGAGAAGGGGCAUACCUAUGGAUCUGUGAGGAGAUAUAAGAGGGGCUAAUAUUAUUCAGUGCUUUAUAGGUAUGGGUUAGCACUUUGAAUUGACUGCUAUAGUACAUAGGAAGCCAAUGUAAGGACUGACAGAGAGGUGAGGUGUGAGAGGACCGACAAGAGAGGAAAAUCAGUCUGGCGGCAGCAUUCAUUACAGACUGUAGCGAGGCAAUACGGCUAUUGGGAAGACCAAUUAGGAGAGAAUUACAAUAGUCCAUGCGAGAGAUUACUAGAGCAUGGACAAGCUCUUUAGUAGCAUCUUGUGUAAGAAAGGGGCGGUUGCGGACAAUGUUUUUGAGGUGGAGUUGGCAUGAUUUGACAACAGACUGGAUGUGAGGCUCAAAGGUAAGGCCAGAAUCAAAAGUAACACCAAGACAACGUGCUUGUAAGGAUGGGAUGAUAUGGGUACCACCAACCUGAAGGGAGAGCGAGGGAGGAGGAUUAAUAUUAGGAGGAGGAAAGACAAGAAGUUCUGUUUUGGAAAGAUUCAGUUUCAGAAAGCGGGAGGACAUCCAAUCAGAGAUAGAAGAAAGGCAAGAGGUGACACGUUGCAGGACAUCAGGGGAGAGGUCUGGGGAGGAGAGAUAUAUCUGGGUGUCAUCAGCAUACAGAUGGUAUUGGAAUCCAAAGGAUGUAAUAAAUUUGCCAAGAGAGGCAGUGUAAAGAGAAAAUAGAAGGGGACCAUGGACAGAGCCUUGGGGGACUCCAACUGAGACAGGACAAAUGGUGGAUCAUAUGAUGUCACUGCCAUUAACUUGCAGAUAGCGAUGCCUUAAAAAAGGAUCUGGCGCCACCGAGAAGCAUUAGAAUAAAAGAUGUCUAAGGGGGGCAAUGUUAAAAUGAGACACUAGGACUAGGACUAGAAGAGAUGAAGGAUGGGGUAAAAAAAAUAAUACAUUAAGUCCCCAGUUCUA